GAUGAACGCUGGCGGCGUGCCUAAUACAUGCAAGUCGAGCGAACAGACGAGGAGCUUGCUCCUCUGACGUUAGCGGCGGACGGGUGAGUAACACGUGGAUAACCUACCUAUAAGACUGGGAUAACUUCGGGAAACCGGAGCUAAUACCGGAUAAUAUAUUGAACCGCAUGGUUCAAUAGUGAAAGACGGCUUUGCUGUCACUUAUAGAUGGAUCCGCGCCGCAUUAGCUUGUUGGUAAGGUAACGGCUUACCAAGGCAACGAUGCGUAGCCGACCUGAGAGGGUGAUCGGCCACACUGGAACUGAGACACGGUCCAGACUCCUACGGGAGGCAGCAGUAGGGAAUCUUCCGCAAAGGGCGAAAGCCUGACGGAGCAACGCCGCGUGAGUGAUGAAGGUCUUCGGAUCGUAAAACUCUGUUAUUAGGGAAGAACAAAUGUGUAAGUAACUAUGCACGUCUUGACGGUACCUAAUCAGAAAGCCACGGCUAACUACGUG
rnacentral:rRNA from 1 species